rnacentral:rRNA from 1 species
UAUUAAAGGCAACGCCUGCCCAGUGAAUAAUUAAACGGCCGCGGUACCCUAACCGUGCAAAGGUAGCGUAAUCACUUGUCUAUUAAUUGUAGACCCGUAUGAAAGGCAUAAUGAGGGUUUAACUGUCUCUUUUAGUAAAUCAAUUAAACUGAUCUCCUAGUCAAAAAGCUAGAAUAUUAACACAAGACCAGAAGACCCUGUGAAGCUUUAACUAAAUUAUUAAACCAUAUAAUAACUCCUUUAGGUUGGGGCGACCUUGGAAAAAAAAAGAACUUCCAAACACACAUCAAAUAAUGAUGACUACUCAGGCUGACAAGCCUACAACGACCCAGCACAGCUGAUAAUUGAACCAAGUUACUCCAGGGAUAACAGCGCUAUCUUCUUCAAGAGCCCAUAUCAAAAGGAAGGUUUACGACCUCGAUGUUGGAUCAGGACAUCCUAAUGGUGCAGCCGCUAUUAAGGGUUCGUUUGUUCAACGAUAAC